rnacentral:rRNA from 1 species
CCUACGGGUGGCAGCAGUGGGGAAUAUUGCACAAUGGGCGAAAGCCUGAUGCAGCGACGCCGCGUGAGUGAUGACGGUCUUCGGAUUGUAAACCUCUGUCUUCAGGGACGAAAAUGACGGUACCUAAAGAGGAAGCCACGGCUAACUACGUGCCAGCAGCCGCGGUAAUACGUAGGUGGCGAGCGUUGUCCGGAAUUACUGGGCGUAAAGGGAGCGUAGGCGGACUUUUAAGUAAGAUGUGAAAUCCGCGGGCUCAACUUGGGGGCUGGGUUUCAAACUGGCUUUCUUGAGUGCAGUAGAGGAGAGUGGAAUUCCUAGUGUAGCGGUGAAAUGCGUAGAUAUUAGGAAGAACACCAGUGGCGAAGGCGAUUCUCUGGCCUUUAACUGACGCUGAGGCUCGAAAGCGUGGGGAGCAAACAGGAUUAGAUACCCCAGUAGUC